rnacentral:lncRNA from 1 species
UCAGGAGCAGGAGCAAAGACUCGCAUAAUUGGGUUGUUAAUGGUAGUGAUACUAGUUGCAAAACCAGGUGUAGCUCUAUGUGAAAUGUCUUGCCCUCCAGUGGUGCAUGAGGUAGCUCCAUGCCUGGAUUACAUUACCGACAAAGCAGAUCAACCAUCAGCUGAAUGUUGUAAUGGAAUGAAAACACUUGAUGGGCAAGCCAAAACAAAACCUGAAAGGCAAGCUGCGUGCAACUGCAUCAAGGAUGUAUUGAAAAAUUUUCAAUAUGAUUCCAAUCGCCUUGUUCAACUUCCAAGCAAAUGUGGCUUAUCCUUCACUAUUCCU